CUGCCUCAGUGCUUUCUUAUGAGGAAAUUUGUACUCAUGUGCAAUACUCACCGCGCAUGUGCAUCAGGUCCUGAAUGAUUCUCAAUGAGGAGGAUUGGACCAACUCUAGCGGAGGCCCAGGAAUAGGAAUAGGUGAGCAGUGCAGUGGGAGCCUCGGCGCUGGAAAAAGGUAAGUAAAAAAAUAUUUGUUAUAAUGUUUUCUGCCG